UCUCUCUUUCUUCUUCUUCAUUAUUCUUCUUCUUUCUUCUUCCCCUGUUUUUUUUCUUGUUCUUUUUCUGCCGGUGAUUCUGUGAGAAGUUUUGAGAGUCUGAGAUCGAAAGGGGUAAGGGAAUAUCAAACAACAUCUAGUGGUGGUGGUGUUGAAUCGUCGAUGUGAUUCAUGCUCAUCAGAAAAGGGAAACUCAGAGUAUAUAAUUUAGGGUUUUCAAUUAUGAUUGAUGUUCUGAAGAUUUUGAAGAUGAUGUAUAGAGCUACUGCUAGAUAAGGAAGCAUGGGUAGUCGUUUAAUUGAGUUUCUGAAGUUGAUUCGGUGGUGAAUCGAGAAUUAGAGUUCUGUUCUUGAGGAUUUUGGAUAAGGAGAAAUUAGAAGAUGAAAUUAGUGGUUUAGGGAAGAGAUUAGAGAUGUGUUUGUCCUGAAUUAGGGCAUAAGGUUGAUAAUCAUCUCGAAUUUGAUAGUUAAGGUUUGUAGUUUUGGAACUGAAGCUCAAGUAGUGGUUGAUUUGAAGCUGUGAAUGAUGUUCUUCCCCAAAACAGAGAUUAGGUUUUCAGAAGAAUUGAAUUGGUGAUGUUGCAAUUCAAAGGGUGCUAGUGAUUGGAUGAAUGUUAGGAGAUUGCAAGUGUGCAGAUUUGUUGGUGGUAUUGAACUGGUGGUGCUGAAAUGGUUAAGAUGAGUAUGGUGGUGUUGAUGUGAGGAUUUAUGAAGCUAUGGCUUGAAGCUUGGGUUGUGCUUUUGAUGUUUGUUGGGUUUCAGGGAAGUGGUACUGCAAUGGUGAUUCACAGUUGGUGUUGAAAUGAGAAGUGGAUUAGUUGUGAAUGAGUUAGGAAAAUGUAUGUUGUUGAUUGGUGGUAGUGGUGUUUUCAGUCUCAGGACAUGGAGGAAGUAUAUGACGUAGUUGUGGUGAAGUUAUAGUGGAGAAUGAAUGAAUGUGCAAUGCUGAAACUGAAUUGUUGUUGAUAUGAGUUGCAGAUGUAGUAAUCUGAGUUAAUGAGGGAAUCUGAUGGUGUUGAUAUCAGGGGAGGAGAUAUGUGAUGGUGGUUAUGUUGAACUGAACUCAAGUUGUAUGAGAUGUUAUAGGACUGAAGCUUUAGAAAUAGAGUUAGAUGAAUGUAUUGAGAUGAUCUGAGUGAUGCUUAAAGCUGCAAUUGCAGGUAAUCUUAGCUGAGUGUUGUAUUUGAUUUAUGAAGUUUGUAUAGGAUAAAUGUAUUGUUAUUGAAAUAUAGUUUAAAGUUAAAUUGGGAUUAGAGUUGUA